GAACGCUGGCGGCGUGCUUAACACAUGCAAGUCGAACGGAAAGGCCCUGCUUUUGUGGGGUGCUCGAGUGGCGAACGGGUGAGUAACACGUGAGUAACCUGCCCUUGACUUUGGGAUAACUUCAGGAAACUGGGGCUAAUACCGGAUAGGAGCUCCUGCUGCAUGGUGGGGGUUGGAAAGUUUCGGCGGUUGGGGAUGGACUCGCGGCUUAUCAGCUUGUUGGUGGGGUAGUGGCUUACCAAGGCUUUGACGGGUAGCCGGCCUGAGAGGGUGACCGGCCACAUUGGGACUGAGAUACGGCCCAGACUCCUACGGGAGGCAGCAGUGGGGAAUAUUGCACAAUGGGCGGAAGCCUGAUGCAGCAACGCCGCGUGCGGGAUGACGGCCUUCGGGUUGUAAACCGCUUUCGCCUGUGACGAAGCGUGAGUGACGGUAAUGGGUAAAGAAGCACCGGCUAACUACGUGCCAGCAGCCGCGGUGAUACGUAGGGUGCGAGCGUUGUCCGGAUUUAUUGGGCGUAAAGGGCUCGUAGGUGGUUGAUCGCGUCGGAAGUGUAAUCUUGGGGCUUAACCCUGAGCGUGCUUUCGAUACGGGUUGACUUGAGGAAGGUAGGGGAGAAUGGAAUUCCUGGUGGAGCGGUGGAAUGCGCAGAUAUCAGGAGGAACACCAGUGGCGAAGGCGGUUCUCUGGGCCUUUCCUGACGCUGAGGAGCGAAAGCGUGGGGAGCGAACAGGCUUAGAUACCCUGGUAGUCCACGCUGUAAACGGUGGGUACUAGGUGUGGGGUCCAUUCCACGGGUUCCGUGCCGUAGCUAACGCUUUAAGUACCCCGCCUGGGGAGUACGGCCGCAAGGCUAAAACUCAAAGGAAUUGACGGGGCCCCGCACAAGCGGCGGAGCAUGCGGAUUAAUUCGAUGCAACGCGUAGAACCUUACCUGGGUUUGACAUGGAUCGGGAGUGCUCAGAGAUGGGUGUGCCUCUUUUGGGGUCGGUUCACAGGUGGUGCAUGGCUGUCGUCAGCUCGUGUCGUGAGAUGUUGGGUUAAGUCCCGCAACGAGCGCAACCCUUGUUCACUGUUGCCAGCACGUUAUGGUGGGGACUCAGUGGAGACCGCCGGGGUCAACUCGGAGGAAGGUGGGGAUGACGUCAAGUCAUCAUGCCCCUUAUGUCCAGGGCUUCACGCAUGCUACAAUGGCUGGUACAGAGAGUGGCGAGCCUGUGAGGGUGAGCGAAUCUCGGAAAGCCGGUCUCAGUUCGGAUUGGGGUCUGCAACUCGACCUCAUGAAGUCGGAGUCGCUAGUAAUCGCAGAUCAGCAACGCUGCGGUGAAUACGUUCCCGGGGCUUGUACACACCGCCCGUCAAGUCAUGAAAGUUGGUAACACCCGAAGCCGGUGGCCUAACCGUUGUGGGGGAGCCGUCGAAGGUGGGACUGGUGAUUAGGA
rnacentral:rRNA from 1 species